GGCCCUCUGGCGCAACGGUAGCGCGUUCGACUCCAGCUUCAGCAAUCUUUGCUGUUAGUGACAUCGAAAGGUUAUCCGUUCAAAUCGGGUGGGGGUCA
rnacentral:tRNA from 1 species